AGCAAAACUUCAAAAAUGGUCUCAGUUCGGACUGUAGGCUGCAACUCGCCUACACGAAGUUGGAAUUGCUAGUAAUCGUGGAUCAGCAUGCCACGGUGAAUACGUUCCCGGGUCUUGUACACACCGCCCGUCACACCAUGGGAGCUGGUAACACCCGAAGUCAGUAGUCUAACCGCAAGGAGGACGCUGCCGAAGGUGGGAUUAGCGACUGGGGUGAAGUCGUAACAAGGUAUC
rnacentral:rRNA from 1 species